rnacentral:rRNA from 1 species
AUAUUCCUGUACCACCUAUAAUCGUUUUAAUCGAUGGGGGGACGCAGUAGGAUAGGCGAAGCGUGCGAUUGGAUUGCACGUCUAAGCAGUAAGGCUGAGUAUUAGGCAAAUCCGGUACUCGUUAAGGCUGAGCUGUGAUGGGGAGAAGACAUUGUGUCUUCGAGUCGUUGAUUUCACACUGCCGAGAAAAGCCUCUAGAUAGAAAAUAGGUGCCCGUACCGCAAACCGACACAGGUAGUCAAGAUGAGAAUUCUAAGGUGAGCGAGCGAACUCUCGUUAAGGAACUCGGCAAAAUGACCCCGUAACUUC